AAGGCCCUGUCUCUCCGAAGUCCUAAGUUCCACUUAGGAUACUGAUGUAGGAGAGGCGGGGCCUU
rnacentral:ncRNA from 12 species